rnacentral:rRNA from 1 species
CCUCCUUUGUUCCUCCUUGGGGCAUCUUGGACAAUGGGGGAAACCCUGAUCCAGCGACGCCGCGUGAGUGAAGAAGUAUUUCGGUACGUAAAGCUCUAUCAGCAGGAAAGAAAAUGACGGUACCUGACUAAGAAGCCCCGGCUAACUACGUGCCAGCAGCCGCGGUAAUACGUAGGGGGCAAGCGUUAUCCGGAUUUACUGGGUGUAAAGGGAGCGUAGACGGCAGCGCAAGUCUGGAGUGAAAUGCCGGGGCCCAACCCCGGAACUGCUCUGGAAACUGUGAAGCUGGAGUGCAGGAGAGGUAAGCGGAAGUCCUGGUGUAGCGGUGAAAUGCGUAGAUAUCAGGAGGAACACCGGCGGCGAAGGCGGCUUACUGGACUGUAACUGACGUUGAGGCUCGAAGGCGUGGGGAGCAAACAGGAUUAGAUACCCGAGUAGUC